AACGCACCUUGCACCCUCUGGUAUUCCGGAGGGUAUGCCUGUCUGAGUGUCUUGAUCAACCUUCAUCCCCCGGUCGGGCCCCGCGCCCGGCCCGGGGGCAUGGCCUUGGGUGCUGCCCCUCACACGGGCUCGCCUCAAAUGCAUCGGCGGCCGGAGGCCCCCCGUGACCUUGCGUGAUACGUUUCGCUCGGACGCGGGAGGCCCCGCCCCCUCGAACCCCCCGUCCCGCGGCCUCGCGGCCCGGGCGGACCAGUGCGUUGACCUCAGAUCAGGUAGGACUACCCGCUGAACUUAA
rnacentral:misc_RNA from 1 species